ACAGAUUUUACUGAUGUCUAUGCAGUUAAUCAUAAUCUUCAUUUUAAGCUUGUGCCUAAAAUUCAAUCCCAUUUUAAGUUUUGAUGUUAAUAAAAAUGCUUUGUGGGAUCAAGCCAGUAAUUCGUAAGCAUAUUUAUAACUAUUAUUUCCCAAUUCAUUCAAUCUCCAACCCAUUCUUAUUGGCAAGGAGAGGCCUAGAGUUUUCUGUUGCUGGUAGAUUUGUACAACAAAGAUCUCCCUUCAGUUCCUCUCUGAUAGGAUUGGAUCGAUUAACUAUGCUACUGCUUAUAUUGCUGUACCUGCCAAGUAUACGGCAAUGUAGAAAUAGGAAAAAUCAUCCUGAUGUGAACAUGUGGACAAUAGAGAAUGCCAGAACAAAUUUCAUCCCUGUACAUGUAACAAUUCCCAUUUCAUUUUGGUUCAGGACACUAGAAUUUAAGAUGUACCCCCUAGACAAACAAAGAAAAUGCCAGUUUCUAAUUCAAGAUGGCCAUUUCUUAUGAAAAACACUUUGAGAAUACUUACCAGGAAAUAGUGUUACUUGAAGAGUAAAUUGCAUUAUUUUUUUUUCUCCAACAGAGUUCUAUCUGCCCUAUUUUCACAAAGGUAAGUAAGGCAGAAUGGAGACAGCUUAUUUUUGGGGAUCUUGGGAUCUUGUCUUAGGAUUAGGAUACUAAAAUGAAGGCUCAAAUUUAUGCUUGUGUUAUGAACAUAACAGAGUUGGAGAAGACAGAAUACUGCAAGGCAGGGUAAUAUUUUUUUUUCUGUUUCUUUCCAACUUGAUGUUGCAUUUGGAGAAAUGCUGAUGAGUGCCAGUGAAGGAUUAGAAAAAAGGUGAGCCUCUAUAUUGGAAAGCAAACUCUCUUCUCCCUUUUCCAUCCCAUUUUACAUAUCCAUCAGUGAUUCUCUAGAUACACACCUGGAAACUUUAGUCAUGAACCUAUUAUCCUAUAUGGAUGUCCUUAAAUUUCAGUGAAAUUUUUCUUGUGGAUAUACUCAAGGAAUUGAAUCGGGCAAUGUCAGAAAAUGAAAACUUAUGUAGCCAUUCUCUUUGGAGCAUGAUCAUUUAAAUAGCAUGUAAAUCUAUUUUUUCCCUGCUGUUUGUAAUAUCAGUAACAUCCUCAGAAGGUGGUACUGAGAGUAGAUCUGAAAUUAGGAAUGUAUAUUGCAUAGGGAAUAUCAUUAACUAUUUGCUAUUUAUCCCAAUCUCGUGGAAAAAAACCUGAACACAGUUAAUACUGACAAACUUGUAGGUAAGAGUUCAAAUCAAAUCCUGAGAGCAACUACUGGACUUUGAAUGAUUUGGAGCAGAGCUUGGAGCAGUAUUUCAUACUCACUUCUUAUAGCCAUAGUGGAUCAAAUCAGAAGUCUGUUUCAUAUUUUCUUUGAAUUAUGUGAGUUCGAAAUCCUGAUCAUAACGUUGCUACUCAGUGGAUAUGUAUUCAUUGGCAUUAGCAUUUCUGAAUGGAUUAACUCAGCCAUUGUGAAAAACAGAUUCUGCAGUUUACUUAAAGAUAAGCAUGAGCAGCGUCAGGUCAAACAUUUUGGAAAUUUCCCAACAGAAAAGGCUCGCUCAUGGAAACUAAAUGUUCUGUAGAAAAGCUGUGAAUUUGAUGAAACUAUUGAAAAGAAGCCAGCAGGCAUUUGACCAAAAUCUUGCUAUUUUUCUGUCAGUUCACCUAUCUUUCUUUCCCCUCCUAGGCAAUAUCAGCCUCCAUGGGCUUGCAGAAGGACUGGGAAAAAGAAAACAACAACAAGGUGAGUUUCGGGCUCCUGGGCAGCAUGUUUUGGGCUAUUGUUCUAGUAGCUUGAACGGACAGUAUCUGACUGUCCUUCAGAUGAGGUACUGUAGAAGUUUCAAAUGUGUUUUCAACAACAAAUACGAGAUUUUCACAGUGUUUAUAUGUGUGAGUGGACUAUUCAGCAGAGGCAAGCAAUCGUUUCACAGAUCUCCAAACAAUCAUUAGAUGGAAAUAAAUGUCACUAGUUAUUGAGUGAUGCUAGAUAUGAUCUCAUGACCUAGAAGUCAUGGAAAGCUUUUUAUAUAAACCAUUUUCUCAAGCAAAAUUAUGCCACAAAAAAGAAUAGGCUUAUUUUUCAUCAUCUCUAUUUAUUAUAACCAUUAUUAACUUGUUCCUUGAUAACUUGAUUUAUGAAGUUUGUGACAAAUUGCUUGCUUAAUUGAAAUAUGUCAGGUUUCUAAAUAUUGAAGUUAAUUAUUCCUCCUUUUCCAGUGGAAACUGACCUUUAAUUGUACAAUAUUAAUCCACAUAUUGUAUGAAUUAUGUGAAAUACCCAUUUUCUAUGUAGAGAGAAGUAUGCAUGUGUUAUUGUAGUGGAGUACAGUUACACAAUUAUUUUUAAUUUAGGAUAUCAGUUUAAUUAAAUACUUGCAGAAACCAAGAUUUUUCAGGAAAUUUGCAAUUACAAUCAAUUUGAAUGUACUGCUAAAUUAAUAUGGUGACAAGCCUAAUAAUAAAAACUAACUAAGUAAUUAUGGGCAGGUGCUGAACAGAUGUGUAAAUAGAAGGUCUCUGCAUGGGACUUUGUUAUAUAUCAUUUUGAAAAGCAAAAGAAACCUGUUAUCCAUAGCCAUUCAUAUACGCAGUUAUAAUCAGUCACAAAAAAAGUUAGUUCUUUGAAUUUAGAUAAAUCAUUUAAAAAUGUAUAUGGCACUUAUGCUUUCAUUUUCUAUUUCUGGAAAGAAAGUCCAGUUGAUUGAAGACUGUUGCUCUACUGUACUCAAAGUCUGCCGCAGUACUAAAAUAUAUUCUUCUUUCAACACAUGUAUGAUGAGUGGGUUUUGAGUUGGAAUGAUUUAACAGUCCAAACAAUUCACAUUCCAUAUUACAAGUUAAACUUUAUUUAAAGAAGUGUGUGUGGGGGAGAAAGCUAAGACUAGUUUAGAGUUGUUUGCUCAAGUUAUUAAAUUGCCAAAAGCCCAAUUCAAUCUCAAAGUAGUUGGAAAACAGUGAAGUUGCAUUACUACUAUGAUGUCUUUUAGAUGGAUUUACAGGGUGCUCUUUUCUUUUAUUUCUGCAAACCAGUUUAUAAAAAUACACCUUUUCAGGUCUUUUAUUUUUGUGAGAGAUCUCUUCUUGUGCACUGUUAGAAACAAUCAUAUCUGUGAUGUAAGCACUUAAGCGAAACUGAAGUAGUUUCUGUAACAUUCAUAUAGAAAUCUCAAGGACAAACUGGCACCUGAGGAAAGAUGCACGUGAACCAGCCACCUGAUAGGAUGGAGAUCCUCUGCGCCUUCUGGGGAGAUUAAACAACGUCUGAGCUCCAGACUCCAAGAUACUCAAGCAGCCUGUGGAAAAUGAAAACCAGAGCAAUACUUGUUUCCUAGGAAAAAAUGAACAAAUUAAAAUGAGUGGGGAGGACAGACCCACCUCAGUUUUAGAGUGGAAAGAAAUCCUCAGGAAGCUCUGCUGUGCUCCAUCCCUGACAAAGGCUCUUUAUACUCAACAAGCCUCAGCUACUGGGCAGGAGAUGUUUAUUGUAAUGAAAGACUCUUCAGAAAGUUUGGAACACAAAGAUUUUAUCUUUGUCAGGGGAACACCUAGUGGUUAGUUAACCUUUGAAUAGGACUUCUAAGACAAUGACAACUGCAGGAUUUGGUGCUGUACGUGGUCUGGAUUUUAUUACAUGAAACACAAGGCAACAUACAAAAUAAACCUCUAAAGUUCUGACAUGGAGAGAUUUUGCUUGUCCUUUCCAAAAGAAAGUUGCCUGAAUUUCCUUCACCCUCAUGGCCAGCCACACAUACCUUCUCCUAGCUGAGCUUGGAUACCCUUUGCAGCUGCUCCCAUACUGUCUCAGUUCUUCCAUGCUCACUGUCUGAGAAAGGCAAAAAAGGAGUUUUCAGAAAAAAAAAAAGGUUUACUCCACAGGUGCAGAGAACCAUGAACUGGCUUAACCCUGGCAGCAGUGCAGAGAUAGCCCUGGUGACCCACAUGCAUUAGCACCAGCACCAGGAGCAGGAGUGCUGCUUCACCACGGUGCUGAACUGACCUCCAAUAUCCCUGCCUUUCUGCACUGUGCAUGACUUCACAGUGAGCUGGUUAAUGUUAGGAUGGGAAUCUUUGCAACACAGUUGGCAUAGAUCAGACAGUAAGCGCUGAGGUUACUUUGGCCCCUCUGAAAGUCUUUAAGUGACCGGAGUGCUUGUGUCUUCUGUGCCCUCAGCAGAGAAGCUGUUACCUCCAGCUGCAUUUUCACUGUGUGGGAAUUGUUUGAACUCACCACUGUUGCCACAGCUGCUAAAGGAAAACAUGUAGUUAAAGAUGAGGCUGUGCAUACAUUAUAGAUAUAGGCAUAUGGCUGUCAAGCUGCUGCCCAACAACUUCCAUAGUUAUAUGGCACCUUAUGUUAUCCAAAGCACUUGAAAUUUUUUAGAUAACAAAAGCAAACCAAGACAGCUAUUAUGGCUUUGUGCUGCACUUGCUUCCUGAUAGAGUUGCCAAUCCAGUACUUUGAAUUCUGUGCCAGCAGCUUUGACACAAGUGAAAGAGCAAGCUGUGCUUUUAACAGAUGCAAAUGCUUUAGUUGCAGUGAUCAUUGCUUUCUCAAAAUCAUUAUCACAUAUGUGGGAUUUCAUAUUCAUACUUUUUCAAAGCAGCAACGUUCAGAUGAUUAGAGCAACAUUUUCUUAGCACCAGUAGAUUUUUAAGGAGCAUAAGCAACUGACAUUAUCUUGACUCAAGCAAGCAUUUUACUAUCCCACCAGUGCUUCUGCUGAACAGACAAACAACACAUGGUUGGCACUGUUGGAAAUCUUGCAUAGUGCCACCACUGUGCCAUACCAGCAAUGAGCCAUACUGAUGGAUUUCUAGGAAUCUGCAGUCUUCUCUGAUUACAGGGGAAUAAGGACAAACAAAACAGUGUUAAGCCAGCAUUAAGUUACUGGCUUAGAUAUUCUCGAUUUGAGAAUAGCUCAUCACCUUUCUCUAUUUUUCCGUAUCUCUUUGUGUCAAGGGUACAGCUUCUGAAAAAGCGUGAAGUUUCUUGCUUUGUUUGAACAAGGUUACCACAAAAGUACAAGAAUUUGAUACCAUCAACUUAGUUCUUUUAAUGGCAAUUUCAGCAGCAGCAAACACAUGGAAAAGUCAUUAUGUCUGUGAAAGCAACAAAUACAAUCCAGAGAUACUGUUGUGCAUAAGACUCCCUUCCACCAGAAGACCAAGUCUGUUUUUUUUUUCUGCCAUUAAACACAUACAAUGUUAAUUCUAAGCCCCUGUUUUGUACAGGCAGGAUCUGGCAAAUUUUGGCACCAUAUACUAUUCAUCAAAGAAAGAAACAGUCCAGACCUUGUAAAGCCUUGACUCUGAAAGUGUGUGUGCUCAGAUUUAAGUAGUAUAUGAUGUGAAGCCCAGUGCAAGAGAAGGUUACUCUGAAGAACCAUAGAGGUUUUGCUCUGAGUCUUCUAUGGAAUGGGAGCAGAUCUCAGUGUAAUUUCUUGAUCAUGCACAUCCAUGAUUAAAACAAAGCACAGAUGCUUAAAACAAAAGACUGGGAAUGAGAAAAAAAUCAUUUUUCUAUCCUAAUUUUGAAGCUUUUCUUAAAAUGAAGAAAAAAAAAAAACCUCAACAGAUCUGCAUAUGUUAUAUAUAAAAACAACAACGAAAAACCCAAACAAGUUGCCUUAAUUUUUAACUCUUCUUCAGUAUUCCUCCUUCCCACAAACUUUGCCAUCCGCACUGCAGUAAUUGCAAUGUGACAGUCAGCAAAGAUUCUCCAAAACAUCCUUUUUGGUAGGAAAAGAAAAAGAGAGUUCAGGAAAAUUGUGCUCUACUGUUGAAGAAAAUUCAUAUCAUAGAAUACAAAGACUGUCUUGGGCAGAGGCUUUGGUCACUGUCUGAUGCAGGUAGCUGGCUGAGUGGCUGUGCUCUCAGCAGCUUGCUCCCCUUCUCUUUUCCUCUUUUUUCCUCCCUCUUCAUUUCCAUAUCUCCACAAAUGUUAUUUUUUCACAUUCACAUCACCAUCUCCAAAUGCAUUUGCACAGAGACACAUAAGGAUAUAAAAUAGUGUCCCCAUAAUUUAUUUCUAUCUGAUCAGGGCACUGUCAAUUCCUUGGAGAUUGUUCUGGCACAAGUCUCAAGCAAAACAAAGAAGCAGUUCCCUCUUCUUACAUUUUUCUUUUGUUAAAAAUGUUAUAAAAUGUAGACUGCACAUACCAGGUGCAAAAUACCUUUGAAAGAAGUGGAGGGUUUGUCCCUAGAAAAAAGACAUUUUUGGAGGGCAUAAAUUGUCCCUGAACCAAAUGUUUUUAUGCCAUCCACAGUAGCUGGACUUGAUGACCUUAGUAGGUCCCUUCCAUCCGGACUAUUCUAUUUUAGAAAGCAGAUGUUGGUCUUUAUAGGGUUUCCUUGUCCAGCUUAAUCACCAGACAAAUUAAUGGCUUUUCUAUCAUUUUCUUAUUGCAGAGCCCAGUGAAUAAUCUGGUAUGAAAACUGAUAGCAGUAGCACAUGGUGUCUGCUAGUACAUAUGAACUGUGUCAUUGUGGACCAUAGCUUCAUCUCUCCCUAGCUGCACCUUGUGUCACCUCAAUAUCAUGCAGGGCCUCUCAGAGGAGAUGACAGCAUGCCAGAUGAAAGUGUUGGGCAGGAUGCUGGCUCAGGAGCCCCCACACUUAUUCUUCAGCCUGCAGAGUUCACCUAUGGGUGCACAGUAGCCAGAACAGGCUCACAUUUUAAGCCAUACAGAGCCUGAAACAAGCUUGUAAUCGGGGCAUUCACAUUUAACUUAAGGUGAACUCAUCCUAUCACAUCUCUGCUGAUCCAAAAAUAAAGACUUUAACUUACAGGCACUAUUUUCAAUUAAUGUAGUUUUUCCUUGAUAAAUGCAGUGAGAUGCAGGAAGGAUCUGUUUGCAGUUUUAAUUACACUCAGUGUACACACAUAUAUCUACCUCUGGUGAUUCCAGAAGCACUCAUUAUUUGUUCAUUAUUCUAAUGACACAACCACACAUAGGUUACUUUAAAAUAAGGUAAGAUUUUGAGUGUCCAAGACACUUGGACACCUUAGAUACUCAGAAUGUCUCUUAUCCCCUACUAGGUGCUUUUCACCUGGGGCUCCUGCAGAUUGUGUACACAAACCUACUCCCAGAAUAUCCAUCUAUAAGCCAAGAAAACAAACCAACUUCUGAUCCUCUAAAACAUUCAAUAUGUAUUGCAACACUGAGGUAUCUGGCUGACAAAAACCAUUAGGUAAGGCUUUCAAGCUCCAGAGGAUAAAGUCUGCUACUAGAUUAUUUCUAUCAUGAUUAGACCAACAUCUGGCUUUCAGCUUCUCUCAUGACAGCACUGUGGUUGGGGCGCUACUUUAACUUGCAUUUUCAUAAGCUACACUGUUCAGUGAUUUAUAUCAAUCUGCUUUUAAUCACAUUGUGCCAAAAUUAACCAACUGUAAUUGCCACCCAGGGCAGGCCGUCUUCUGAAAAGGAAAUAAAUGAAAUUAGUUAUCAGGGCAGGAAGCAGCUGCCUGGCUAUGAAGUGGAAGAGCAAUCUGUGCACUAGUUUAGACUCACCCCCAUCAUGCAAGUGAAGGAGCAUGGCAGUAAUGGGGAGAAAACAAAACGGAAGAGUCCAGGAUGUCAUCUUUCUCCACUCCUCCUCUCAAUUUUUAUUCUGUGCAUUUUCAGUGGCAAAGAAAUGAAAACAUCUUUAUUUUUGUUUAAAUUCUCAGAAACUCUAUUUACAAUUCAAAAAUGUAACUUCAAAUCUGAAACAAAGUACUUCCUCUCUCUUUCUCCCAUAAUUUCAGUUUGUCAGCAAAAAUACACCCAUAAACCCAUCAUGUUCACAUAUGUGCAUACAGCAUCCAAACCACACUGUGCUCUGCAAUGUGGUGAGAGCUUUUGCAUAGCUGAAGAGGGAAAAGAAAUGGGAUCUGAAAGGUGGGAAACCUUCGGAGCAUGUCAUUUCCCUUUCUGUACUUCAGAUCUCAAACAGACUGAAGCCAGAGAGCAAGUUUCUAGCAGCUUCAGUAAGCUUUGGAACAGGCUCUACUGAUGGAGCUAGAAGCAGAUAUUAAGUUACAUCAGCUUCAUAAUAGCUGCCAAAUUUUUUUUAACUAGGAAAUAUUAGCAAACGUGAUAACACAGUGAAAUGUGGUGACAAUAGGAAUACUGUUCAUAUCUUGUUCAUUCAAGUUAUGAAACAAAGUAGAAAAUGCUAUUAAAACCAUGUGGUGAUCUUUAAAGUAUCUGGCUUUUCUUAAAGCUACGCUCAUUUUGCAAGAUCAAAGGUAAAGUGAAAUCUUUACAAAUCAUUUUGUUGAUUAGACAAUGGUGAUACAGAUUUUGCAGUAUGCAUGAAGGGGUGAAGGAGCCUGAUUUUCAUUCUGGUGCUGCAGAAAUGGAGGAGAAGGGGAUAGGGGUGCGGAAAAGGAAAGAAGGAGAGCCUUUGUUCCCACCUUAGUUCUUUCCACUGCACAGAUCUGUCACAGAAGUGGACUCUUGGAGAUCUUCCCUGGUGGGGAAGAAGGAGGUUAUCACACAGCUAACUGACUUCAGAGCUGAAAAGAAAACCACCACACAAGACCAGCCCUGAAAUACAACCAGCGUAGCCAGUAAUCAGUAACAGCUUUCUCCUUCAGCUGAAGAUACAAGAAACCCACAGCAUGUUUUCAGUAACAGUUUUGAUGCAUGCCUUGCUAUCAAGCUGCUCAAAGAGAAACCGAGGGCCCAAAACUGCAUGGCUAUAACCCAUGCCUUACAGAGCUAGAUCCUAUAAUCCCACUGAUGUAUCUUCCUUUUUUUGUAUGGUCAAAGGUUUGCCAGAUAAAGUCUGAUUUAUUGUUUAUGCUUCUAUAAUUACCUCAUGGAAGUUAAGCCCUUAGAUCUACCACACACCUCCUCUUGUAACACCACACCUAUUCUUUCCUCUUUCUCUCUUUCUGUCGGCUCACAUCUUUACUUCUCAUGUCUAUAUUCUUUGAUGUUCAAACCACUGUCACAAUUAAUGUGUGCCUGACAAGGGCAGGAAGGCAGGGAAACGAUUCCCACUCACUGUUCUCUCCUCAUUUGCUCCUUUUCUUCUCUGCAUUCAGAAAGCGAGUGAGUGACAGCUAGCCCAGAGUGCUGCUUGUACACAUCUAUUGAGGAAUGGGAACGCUUAGCAGAGUAGUAGAGCAGAUGGAAUGAAGAGCCCCAGACAAACUCACUAUAGCCCGAUAGGGCACCUUCUACCUUCAGGUCAGCCAACAAAAGACACCAGUGAAAAAGGUGUGCCUACAAUCCUCCCUGAGGCUCUUCAAAACACAAGAAUAACAAAAGAGCAGAGGUUGAUACUAAUAUCAUCAUACUAAUGUCUGCUAUCUCGGAAGUAUUCUUUAUGGUCAUUAUUUAAGGGAGCCUUAGAUGUUAUUUUCCAAGUCCAGCAAAUGUAGCUUUGAAGGAGCUUCCUCUUUUGGGUGGGAGGAUAGACUCAGUGAAGUGACAUUUGGCAGAUAAAUGAGAAAGCUGAAGCUCUGCCCAAGUAGAAGUGAAAACUAAUCUCAGAACAAAGAGCAAAUUUUAUUUAGUCCUAAACAAGCUAUGAACAAUCUGCAGAUAGUAUGACCUAAUACUUGCCAAAAAUGUGAUUACUAAUUUUGUAGGCAUGAUGCUGAACCUGGUUUAGAAAAGUAUUCUAUAAACAAAGACAUCAUAGCCAUACUUGGGAAAAAAGCUCUGUUACUGAAGCGCUCAGCACAGCCACGCACCAUCACUGAUGGGCAUACAGGGCAAAUUUUCAAGGACACAGCAUCAGCUCUUCUCUGCUUCCUGGGAACUAGAGGUGCCAUUCCUGCUGACUGACUUCUGAAGUUGAAACAGGCCAAUGUGAAUCAAUUUUUACAAGAUUACACACACACAAAGAGAACUUCUGGCUUUACCCAGCAAGAACUUGAAGUGGGUCACAGUCUGUAACCUGAAAAUUGAGACAUUUUGGAAAACGUAGCAAGACUAUGCAAAAGCAUGUCAUAUAUAUGCUGUCAUAUAUAAAUUGUGUUGUAUAUUUUAGUCUGAAGCAUGAGCAGUGUCCAUAUGAGGGGUGUUCUCAUAAUUUGUCAGCAAAUUCCAGUUAUGGAGGUAUACACCCUCAGGCUGUGGCUGUAUGACUGAGUUGUUUCAGCAUGACAAGUUGCCAAAUCAUAAUAUCUGACUCUCUGUUUCAAGCCGCAGCAGAUAAGAAGUGGUUGCUCCUUAUUUAGUCCAUAGUAAAGGAAAGUAUACACAGAAUUUUCUGACUCAGAAAGCCCAAUGAGCAGUGAAUAUUUGGCAUAUACUUAACAAAUACAUUACGUAAUCUCAGUAAAAUGCCUCUUGAAAUUCAUUUUAAUUGCAAAUUCAUGGGUUGAAGUGCUUAUGCCACAUGAAAAGUGCUUUUUACCACAUGGCACUCAGGACUUUAUUCAUCCUGCAUUGCAUUUAGACACAACUGUAGGCAUAUAUCUGCAGGGGAAAGUGCCUCUGGAUUUAGUUAAUUUGCUACAAUAACACUGCAUUUCAGAGGUAAGUAAUUCAUAUAGUGAAGCCCUUAUUUCACAACACUUUGCUAAUACCUUUCGUUUAGAGUGUUUAAAAUAUCUAUACAAAGUCCUCAUCUUUAUUAUAGUCUGAGUGAUCAUCUGAGGAGCCUCCCUUUGCAUAAGAAAGUGCUGCUUAUUAGGGCAUGCUGAAAAUCUACCGUGGAGUUUGUCAGAGAGGUUUGAGAAUUGGUACAAAUUGGUAUAGAGCACCUGGAUGUAAAUCAACUGCAAGUCCUCCAAGUUCUGGCACAGAGCUUCAGUUGAAUGAAUUUUCUUAGCUGAGAAUUGCUCCCAGAUCAAAAAUGCAGCCUUUGGAGCAAGCACAGCAAAAAUGUUACUAGCAGAGAGAUAACAUCUAAAUCAAUGAUGAGUGCCCAGCAUAUAUGACCACCUUAUAGUUAAAAUAAGAAAGAAGGAUUUUUAUUAGUUUUACAAUUGUGACUAAUAUUUUCAAGUAAUGCCAAAUGUUUUACAGAUGUUUAUAUGAACAAAUGCUGACUACAGCAUGCUGCAGCCCAGAACAGACCCAAACACUUUGGAGAAAUCCAGAUCAGAACUCCGCAGUCAGCCUUCCUGCAAACCUAAUCACAAACAGCAAAACACUAGCUCUGCUGUCAUCCUGAAGAAAAAGCCUUUUUACCUUAUAAGCUGUCAAUUUCAUACAUGGGCUUGAUUUAGCAGCAAGAACUCCCAGGAGCUGGGGUUUCUUCAGUGCCCAGGCUCAUCCUUGCUGCUGCCAUCUUCUGCCUUCUCUGUGCGAGCAAUGCAGCUGCAGAAGGGCUGUGUGGAGCAGGCCAUGCACUUGAUCCGGAAGUAUGGCCCCGAGGCAGGUCUGGUCUUCUUCCGCAAGCAGCACGUGAUGGUAACACUGCUGGUAACAGAAAAGGAAGGAAAAAAAAACAGCCUGAAAAAAUACCAGAAGAAAAGAAAGGCUACUUUUGAACUAAGUGGGUCUCCAGGAUUUGGUAAAACUGCUCAGAUUAAAUUUCUGAAUCUUGUAAUUGUCACCUGAAUAUUCUCAAAAACUUGGGGAUGGGAGAGCAGUCGUUAAAUGCUGUGAACCAAAAGAAAGUUUACAUGUACAAAAUGUCACUUU
ensembl:lncRNA